CUUCACUUAUGGGUACAGGCAGGCCUUGACCGACAGCGGUUGUUGUGCCAAAGAACAAAGAAUAAGAAGAAGAAAGUCCUCUGAUCCUCUCUUGCCCCGUUAUUUUCUUAGGAGCUUGAAAAAUGUAAAGUCAUUUCGUUCAUCGGUUCCUGCAAUCUUGAUGGUUAGUGGUGAUAUUGAUGCAUCAAAUGUACUUGGUGCUAUAAAAUUCUUUGCUCCGUUUAGGUCUAUCAGGCAAAAUCAAAUAAUACGUGCGUCACAUUAUCGUACCAGAUUCGAUUGGAGUAGCCGGAAUCAUAUUUAUUUCGAAAUCGGAUUCGGAUUCAGUAAAGCGGAGUUGGGGUGGAUUCACGAAUCAAAUCCAGAGCUGCGAUCACUUGACAUUUGCAUGGAGAAGAUGGUUCCUUGCUUAUAACCAUAACAUGAUGUAACAUGAUGAGUAUAUUAUUGAGGAGCAAAAGUCUGUUAAUUUACUCGACUUACAUUCAUCAUGGUUUUCGUUGUAAACGAAAUUAAUUUGAUAUGGCUAAUAGCUAAAAUUAACCAAUUUAUUCAUGUCACAGCCAUAGACACUAAAUUCCUACAAUAACCAACUACAAUGGAAAUAAUACGCAUAAUUAAAAAUGUAUUACAUGUAUUACAUAACCGAAGGAAUUUGCUACCAUUAACAUAUUUCAGAUAAAAAGUGUUGCAGUGCUGCGACACUCAGAUACGCUAAGAUCUAAAAAAAAAAAAAUUUAAACUGAAUGUUCAAAGCUUUUAAAAAGAAGAAAAAAAGGGAGAAUUAUUAUUGUUGUUAUUAUUAUAAGUAUUAUUAUUAUUAUUCUUAUUAUUAUUCUACGCAGAUUUUAAAAAAAGGUAUUCAAGCACCGUUUCUUAUACUCCUCCUUUAUGCUUCUGGUUAGCUUAAUUGUCCGAUCGUUACCCGAUUGAUGGAUUUAAAUAAAAAAUAAAACACACAUUUCCAGUUUCUUUGCUGAGUGCUGAGCGAUUAAAAGAUAGGAUUAAUGUUUUAAAAGUUUAUUAACACAUUUUUUUCAAUGUUUUAUACACGUAUAAAAUAACAAAAAUUGUUGAGCGAGUUAAAUCAGUUGUUUGAGACAGAUAAAAUUGGCAUGAUACGCCUUAAUUAAAAUUGAUAUUCCGUAACAUAGAGUUUGAUAUGUUUUCAAUGUGUAACGCAGAACAGCUAUUUCGCAUAUAUUUAUGAAA